CAUAUGCUAUAUAUUACAUGUAUGUUUGUGUGUAUAAAUAUAGCAAUAUAAUAAUGCAUUGUGCAUUCGAAAAGUGUUGUUAUACAUACACACACACAUAUAUAUUCAUAAAUACAU
rnacentral:miRNA from 1 species